AUAGCUAUAGAUUUUAUUAUUAUUUUUUGUUUCCACAUUUAAAGAAUGCUUGGAGUAGUCCUGAGAAGAGUUCAUAUUUUCAACAUUAGCUGGCUUGUUUACAUAUCUGUCUGAAAUAAAUAUAAUGUUUUGGUAAUUUUCAUUAAUUGAUAAAGGCAGGUGAGGCUUCUCAAACAGAAACUGUAUCUGAAGAAAACAAAAGCCUUAUCUGGACACUAUUGAAACAAGUCCGUCCUGGCAUGGACCUAUCCAAGGUGGUUCUGCCUACAUUUAUUUUGGAACCCCGUUCUUUCCUGGAUAAACUUUCAGAUUACUACUAUCAUGCAGAUUUCCUAUCUGAGGCAGCUCUUGAAGAAAAUCCUUAUUUCCGUUUGAAGAAAGUAGUGAAAUGGUAUUUGUCAGGAUUCUAUAAAAAGCCAAAGGGACUGAAGAAACCUUAUAAUCCUAUACUUGGCGAGACUUUCCGUUGUUUAUGGAUUCAUCCCAGAACAAACAGCAAAACUUUUUAUAUUGCUGAACAGGUAUUAGAAAUGCAUGUAUGGAAACAAAACUGAUCUGGAAGUUAUUGGAAUAUUUUUAUAGAAAAUAUUUACCCAGUAAACUCAAUAUUAUUUAGCCUUUCUUAUUUCUGAACAUUUGGUAAACAUUUAACCUUUUAA
rnacentral:lncRNA from 1 species